rnacentral:rRNA from 1 species
GAUGAACGCUGGCGGCGUGCCUAAUACAUGCAAGUCGAGCGAACAGACGAGGAGCUUGCUCCUCUGACGUUAGCGGCGGACGGGUGAGUAACACGUGGAUAACCUACCUAUAAGACUGGGAUAACUUCGGGAAACCGGAGCUAAUACCGGAUAAUAUAUUGAACCGCAUGGUUCAAUAGUGAAAGACGGUUUUGCUGUCACUUAUAGAUGGAUCCGCGCCGCAUUAGCUAGUUGGUAAGGUAACGGCGUACCAAGGCAACGAUGCGUAGCCGACCUGAGAGGGUGAUCGGCCGCACUGGAACUGAGACACGGUCCAGACUCCUACGGGAGGCAGCAGUAGGGAAUCUUCCGCAAUGGGCGAAAGCCUGACGGAGCAACGCCGCGUGAGUGAUGAAGGUCUUCGGAUCGUAAAACUCUGUUAUUAGGGAAGAACAAAUGUGUAAGUAACUAUGCACGUCUUGACGGUACCUAAUCAGAAAGCCACGGCUAACUACGUG